UGAGAGCCGCUGUAAAUUUCCUCAGCCUGAAGAAGCAGCGGCGUGUCAGGCAGCCGCUGUUCAGCAGCCUUUAGAGACUGUAAGGACUUUUCUGGUGCUGUUAUAACUCUGUAUUUUAGCGUAGAAGAGGAAAGGUGAACAUAGAAAUGGUUCUGGUGAGCUGACUUUACCCUAAAGAGGGAAACGACGAGAUUGACAUCUGAACGGAUGAAGAUAUUGGAUAUUACCUGAGACUACUACAAACAGUCGGGGCGUUUUCCAGAUGCGCACAGAGCUUGGUACAGCGCUCUUGAUUUGUGAGCUGUCAUCCUUGCACCAAGAGGAAGAAGGGAGAGAGGGAGAGAGGGGGGAGGAAGAGAGCAAACGUCUUUUGGGUCAAAGCAGGCGGAUGCGGAUCGUCUGUAGAUGGAGGUCGUUGGUCUGUCGGACUGUGUUUAUGUGGCCCAGAUGUGUCGCAGGAAACGCCGGAACUUCAGCUGUAACAUAGACAGUCUGUCCAGCACUCUCUCUCUCUCUCUCUCUCAUAUUCCUCCUUUCUCUUUCUCUCUCUCACUCAUUCCUCCCCUCUCUCUCUCUCUCUCUCUCUCUCUCUGUUGCCAAAGAUUAGUUUGCACUGUUUUGCUACUGCGGAAUAUUCCCAUGUGGGUUUAACCAGUAAAAUAACCAGCAACCAGGAAUCAUGAAGGUGAAGGAUAUCCCUUCUAGAUAAAUAAAAUCAGAGGUGCCUAUUAAUCACACCAGAGGUUCAGACCUGCAGGAAAUAGACUAAAGGCUUGUUGUAGUCGUGAUAAUGAAAGUCUGGCUGUGGCUUUGUGUAACUUGUCAUACGAUUAUUUGGGCUGGCUGGGGUUCACCUCCAGUUUACGAGUGUUGCAUAAAACUUAUUGCAAAGGCUGCAGGGGAAACUCUAUUGACAGUUGUACUUUGUUUUACCUCAUAAAAGUAUUCCACUCUGCUAUUUUUAUAGCUGCUUUAGUUGAGCGGAGGAAAGCUCAGUCCAGUGUGCAAAAAUGAUCCUUCAUUUAUUAUCUACACAAAAAAUAUUGCUUUAAAUUUACAUCAAUCAAAUGUCUAAAAUGUAUUUUUUUUUAACCAAAAUAAGAAAGCGCAAAAAAUCCAAUUGCGUUGAUGUAACACAUUUGUUCAUGUAAAACAGCUUGACACAUUAGAGUCAUUGACCAUUUUUUCACUGUAUUCAGUCGAAUAUAAAUUAUAUAUGACCUAAGAUUCUUAUAAUAAAUCAGAGUUUAAAGCUUUACGUCAGUUUGACAAAUGUUUCUUAGUGUUGUUUUCACAUACAGAAUAAACCAAAAGCAUUCCUCAUUGUACUUUCUUUGGACUUCAAGAGAACAUAUUGGUUUCACAGCAGUUACAAAAGAAUCAAAUUGUAUAGCUAGUAUUAAGUUGGAACUGAAGUUCUCAGACUUGUUUUUGCAUCGCUUCAGUGCUGUAGUACUGUCGCCUCUACAGGUUUCAUUCUGUUUUUUUAAAGGGUUAAAGGUCAGUACAUUUAAUGAGGUCAAAGUCAGGACAGAAAGAGGGCAGAUAAAGUGUGUGUUUUAGGGGUUGGAUAAAAGGACCAAGGAAGUGUUCUGUACUUACCUUUUAGGAUUCAUUUAAUUUUGUUCAAGAAAUUAGUGUAAAAAGUGAAGUUUAUUAAAUGUUUGUAUAUUAAAUGUAGAGAACUAUGCUACACCCUGUUGUCAUCAAAUAGGUUCGCUGCAUCUCCCUGUACUUUGCUUUGACAUGGAUUGGUUUAUGCAAUGCUGUUAGUUUGGUGAGCUGCUUUUCAAGGUCCAAAAUCACCCCCCUCAAAUAGGAUAAAUAAGAUUUAAUCUACAGUUACAGUAGGUACAGAAAUCAGAAAUUGCAUUUAUA